UAUCAUGCACCAUUCCGCACAUGAUUGGACUCCAAAAGCCUGAAAAACUCAUCCAAAACUAAAACUCACGGAUCUAGUCACUCUCUACCUCUCCCUCACAUUUCUCUCAGCCUCUCCUCCGUUUCCUAACCCUAGCCGCACACAACACUCACUACUCUCAUGUCAUCGCAUCAUUCAUCUCCAUUUUCAUCACCUUUGGCCUCUUCGUCUCCCCACUAAUGAGAAUAUCAGCAGAGAGGGAGAAAAGUUUUAUUUAACUGUUUUGAUGUGCAGAAUGUUGUGUUGAAUUUGAUGGGGCUGCUAUUUGGAAGGAUUAUCACUGUUUUUUAAAUCAUGAUUUGUAAUAACUAUA